rnacentral:lncRNA from 1 species
CGCGUUUCGUCUACAAAAGAUUCAUCAGUGACGCUCGAAUCCAAAAAAGUUAAAAAGGCCAAAUAAAGUACGAAGUUGAAGAGCAUUGGGGACCAAAAUUCCUAGAAGUUGCGCCAAAUACAGCUAAGGUAAUCUAUGCCUGCGGUAGAAAAGCCUUAGUAUUUCAAAAAAAUCAAAAUUUGUAAACAGUAAAUUUAUAAAUAUAACCAUAUCAAUGACAAUUCAUGUCAGCACAAAAGUGCUGACUACUGGGCUUGUGAUACCCUCGGGGAAAUAAAUCUCCACCAGCAGUGGCAUCGACCCAGUGGUUGUAAAUAAC